rnacentral:lncRNA from 1 species
UUCUUUUUACAGAGCUGGGCAUCAACAGUAGAUCUUGUGCAUGCUAAGCAAGUUCUCUGCCACUGAACUGCACUACAGCACUCCCUGAUGGCCUUGGAAAUGGGACUCUUGCAGGCAGUCUUGUGGUCUUUGGACAUACUGAGUUGUUAGCUCUGUAUAUUUUGGACUUGCGGCUUUCAUGAUUGUGUGAGUUGCUUGGUUAUAAUAUAUAUUACAUUCACAUAUGUAUGUUUGUACCACGAGUUCUAUUUCUCUAGAGAGUAGUUCUUGAAGAACAAAUCUUGAGUGAAUUUUCUGAAUUGCUUCUAUGUUUUUGAAAACUGACUCUCUAAUAUAUUGACUUAAAAACAUUAAUGAUUCUCUUUUCAGUAGUAAAGAGAGCAUGAUAAUCCAUGACAUGAUCUGAAUAAAGAGGUAUAAAAAAAUCCCCUUUCUAAAUUCCUAAUCAAGCACAAAAAGCAAGAAUCUGGGUGAUUACAUAUAUGGUACUUGCAAAUAUUCUGUUCUAAAUUAAUGCAUAUAAAAACAUUGCUUCUAAUGUUGCUGAACAAAGUGGGGAGAGAAAAAGUUGGGCCCAGGGCUGAGGGCCACACAAAUCUAUCUGAAAGCUUUUCUGUCCUGAGAGAGAUUUUUAUCUCCCAUAGCUGCAGAGUUUAUUUUCAUUAAAAAUCUCACACACACACACACACACACACACACACACGAUGGAUGGAUGGAAGGAAGGAAGGAAGGAAGGAGGGAAAGAGCAGGGAAGGAGGGAGGAAGAGAGAGAAAGAAAGAAAGAGUUGAUAUCUCUG